AAAAAGUAGCAACCGGCAUGAUAAAUUUGGUUAGCUUUUAGUAUUUAUUGUGUGGUAAUAUUUUGGAAUAAUCAUUUUCAGGGAUUCCUACAGAGCUAGACUUCACACCCCAUCGUAUGGUAAACACGAUCUUGACAGGUCUAAUCAGAUGAACGCUAAUAAUCCCGCUUAUGCCAGUUCCAGAGGAAUGUUCAAGAGAUCCGAUCAGACCAACUAAGUAUCCUAUAUGGCAAAAUAAUCUUACACAAAUACUUCAUGAUAACAGUUGAAUGAAAUAUUAUUGUAUUGUUCUAAUUAUAGGUGAUUAACUGAAA